UACGUAGGGGCAAGCGUUGUCCGGAAUUAUUGGGCGUAAAGAGCUCGUAGGCGGUUUGUCGCGUCGAAUGUGAAAACCCGGGGCUCAACCCCGGGCCUGCAUUCGAUACGGGCAGACUAGAGUUCGGUAGGGGAGUCUGGAAUUCCUGGUGUAGCGGUGAAAUGCGCAGAUAUCAGGAGGAACACCGGUGGCGAAGGCGGGACUCUGGGCCGAUACUGACGCUGAGGAGCGAAAGCGUGGGGAGCAAACAGG
rnacentral:rRNA from 1 species